UUGUUCAUUGUUAGUUCAUAUUAGCUAAGGCAUUACCAAAUGUUAAGGAAUAAACUAUUGUAGUAAAGUAUUACUAAAUUUUCUUUUUCCAUUUCCUUUACAAUGUCUACUUAUUUCUAUGGCUAACAGAUUUUGUAACAUUUGUAUUUUUUACAGUCUUACCAUUGCUUGUAAGCUGGAUUGGGUAAGAUGGAUCAUCUUUAAAGGAACCAGGCAAGUACAUGAUGUACAGUUACAAGUCAUGUAUUUUUUUGACUGCAAUAUUAAAUGCUUUCACGUCACAUGUAAAAGUACACAGGAAUGUGGCUAAUCACUUUUUAUUUGUAGUUUACCUGAGUGUCCUUGCACUUUUCAGGAGUUAAGGCAGAUGUGGAGGCACAACGGGUGACACCAGACACACCCAAGCACAUUAUGUUCGGACAUUCAAUCAUGACAUGAUCCAUGUGGAUGCUGUCCAUUGAGGAAAGAGUUUGUUCCGAGGUUUCUGGAUAGAAUUAAUUCCAAAGAUGGGAAAAAGUGCACAUCCAGACAAGGAGCAAGCAAAAAGACAAGGAACUUGGUGCAGAGAAAAGCUGUGGCCAUUAACCCCCAUGUGAACAGCUUCAUGCAGUCCCUGAUUGAGUUCGAAUGGACGACUUCAAAGUAAAGGCCACUGUGGUCUGUCUGCCACAGUUUAAUUUUUAAUUUAUUUUUAGUGUUCAAUGAAAUUCAAGUAGAAUAUUUAAAACUAUGGGCCAGUGUCCUUUUUACCACAGUGAAAUGUUACCUUUUAGUCGAUGAUGGACUUUAAACUGAAAACUUCAAACUAUGGACCUGU